rnacentral:rRNA from 1 species
UACAGAGGGUGCGAGCGUUAAUCGGAAUUACUGGGCGUAAAGCGUGCGUAGACGGUUAUGUAAGUCAGGUGUGAAAGCCCCGGGCUCAACCUGGGAAUUGCAUUUGAGACUGCAUAGCUAGGGUGCGGAAGAGGGAAGCGGAAUUUCCGGUGUAGCGGUGAAAUGCGUAGAUAUCGGAAGGAACACCGAUGGCGAAGGCAGUCCCCUGGGCCUGUACUGACGCUCAUGCACGAAAGCGUGGGGAGCAAACAGG